GUGGGAUAUAAAAAUUCCUCAUGACUCAGUGACCUCAUAGUGUUAAAUGAUAUUAAUAAACCACAACAAAUGACGUCACGACCAAUAAGAGAAGGUUCAGCAAAAUUUCCUUUCUCCAGAUCCUCAGAAAAAGAUCAGUCUCUGCUCUGCACACCCUCUCCACGGGCCUCUCUCCAGCUCAGAUGAUGAUGGAAAGCAGAAGAAUGCCGGAAUGUGGAGGGAGAUGAUAAUCCUGGUUGCUCAUCGCAACGUUUAGAUUCCCAACACAGCAUGAUGGGAACAUGAAGUCUUUCGUGGCGCUCCAGACAUGGAAAUGACGUAGUAAGUAUAGACCAGCUUUCAUUAAUGUUUGAUGAGGAAGAAGGCUGGUGAUAUUUUUAAUACAGGGACACUCAGUACUGCUAAAACUGUUCAUGCACCAAAGAUACGCUCGGACGUACAGGUUGUGAGGAAAGAGACGUGGAAUGUUUGUGUGGGUUUUCGAGGUGUGUGUGUGUGCGUUUAUGUGUAAGGAAUGCUGCCAGACUAGCUGGUACACUUCGCUUUGAGGACUCUACAUUCCCCUGGCUCUCCCACAUCCCUCAGCAGGUUACCAGACCCAUGCCGCCAGCCGUCAGCCUCUCAGCUGCCUACCCAGCAUUCCACAGGCUUUAGCUUAAAGAAAAAAAAGAAUUCCUGGCAUGGUAUGAUUGGCCUCUAGCUUGAAGCUAAUGCCCUCUGUACUGUCACACAACUCAUACGAACAGGCCAAGCGACAGGGAAUCGCUGACUAGUCAUGACAUAUGCGUAUUUGUUGCGGGAAAUUUAAGGAUGCCCACCUGUGCAUGACCUGAACAUGUAGUCUCGAUUUACUAUAUUCCUCUCUGCAGCUGUUUUGAAUUAUUUUUUGGCUUUCUGAUCAAUAAGUCCUUGCCACCUUCCCAGACUGGCAUCGUUUUAGUCAGUAUGAUGGAGAUACAUUAAUAUUGGCCACUGGCCUCCCAUCUGAAAUCUGAGAGCUCA